rnacentral:lncRNA from 1 species
AAAAUGUUCGCCAUCCCUAUCGAUAAAAACAUAUCCCUUCUUAUCUUGGCGCAAAGUGUGUCGACCGCUAAACAUUGCAGCAAGCAUGGAGUCGGGUUGACGCUGAGUUAGAGUACCGACGGUGGUGGAAAACUUCUUUCCUCCCACAUUGAGGUGAACCAAGGAUGAAGAAUCACAGUCCUCUGCCAUUGCUUGGACACUUCGAGAGAUGAAUGAUACAGGAAAUCAAGAGUAUAAACUGGAAAACUUGUCCGCUGCAAAGAAUAACAACAAAAGAGAAAGAACCAUUACGAAGCAACAACUAACAGAGAAAUAUCAGGACUGAAAAAGGAUCUCUUAUAAAACUAAACGCAUUUAUAAGAGUUGAAAAUCGAAGCUCAUAGGGUUGGUGAACAUAUUCAAUACCAGGGCGAAAUACGAAGAGUCGAAAAUCGUAUGUAUUCUCUCUUAGUUAUGUCAUAACAUAAUUGGGGAGAAGUUUAAAUGUUUAAGCGUCCAACCGAUUUUGUCAUGACACUUGGUAUACCGGAUCGUAUUUCCAAUGCAUUGAAAAAUCUCUCAUUCUACAACCUCACUUCUAAACCAAUUUAAUUAUCUUCCACUCUUUCAAACUAAAAGAAAGCCACUCCUUCAUAUAUUUACUCACGUAACUUCCAAAUAAAAUCUCAUUUAGUUUCUGUUAAACCCAAUAAGUAUAAUAAGAACGAAAAAAUUCACCAUUUCAAAACCAACCCACCACAAAUCUGCCCCUACAUCGAAAAUUAACCAAAAAAACAGUUCACACAAAUAGCAUAGCCUCAUAAAAUCAAGAGGGAGUUAAAUCAAGGCUAGGGUUUUCAUAUUUUUACCCCAAUACCACCGAAACUGGUCUUCGACGCCUAAAAUUUACUGCCACGAUCUCAGUUCGACGCCAUCAGCUCGAAAUCUCGACAUAUAUUACACGAAUCGGAUUACAAACAAGAAUAUAAAGUUAACCCAAAUCUGUAUGUGACGAAUUCAAGGAACCACUUACAUAGAAAUGAAACCCAUGAGAAAAGGAUUAAACUUAUCUCUUGGCUUUGUUGGAGUUUUGAGCUCCUUUAGUCCCACAUCGGGGAACUCAAGGGAACUUGGGGUCCUUAUAUUAAGUUAGUCACCUAUAUUAGUGAUUAGGUGUUGAACUAUUUGGAAUGAGGAUUGAGGUUUUGGCCACUAAUUGUGUGGAUUAAGCUUGAUGAUUAUACCAUAAUAGACAAGACCUUGGCCUUGGGGCCUAAGAAGUUAAAAUUAAUCAGAAUUCAUUAAUUGUAAUUUUGAAUUAAAUUAAUUAAAAACGUUUUGACACAAAGUUGUGUGGUUUUAGAUACAUUCAAAAGGUAUUUAAGGAGGUAUGAAAGAGCCUAUAUAACUAAAGUCUCAAUUCCUUCGUAAGUCAUCUUUCAUUUUCCCAUCUCUUCCGUACAAAACCUUACAGAAAGUAAACAUACAAAGCAAUUCGCCAUAAUUCUAUAAUCCGGUGCGGGUUGUAGAAUUAGAUAGUUGUAUGUUGGUCGGGCAGACUUCGUAGAACCACAAGCAUAAGAGUGAGACGGAAAUAUUGUUCGAAAGACAUAGCUUUUGCACUAGUCUCUAUCUGUGAUUCAACCAAGUUAGUAUCAAUUUAAUUCUUGUUUAUUUCGGUUAUUUCAUUUUGUAUUGCAAGUAUAUUUCGUUAAUAAAGAAUUAGUAUUUCAAUUAUGUUAUUUUAUUUAUUUUCUGAAAUGUUCUCCAACAGGCUUAAGGUUCCAAGGAUUUUGGCCGGAAUUUGGAGUUUUCCGACGAGAUUUGCUCUUCUUCUUGCCUUUCUUUUGCCUUGUGUGGUGAUUGGACAGAAUCUGCCUUUUUUCUUUCCACUUUCCUUUCCUUCAUCGUAAAGCAUAAAACAUUUAUUCUACAUGAGAAAUAUUUCAGUGUACCAGGAACACAGCUUGGAGUGUCAUGACAUAAUUGGGGAGGAAGUUUAAUUGUUUUUAUGUUCCUCCAAUUAUGUCAUUACACUUGGCAUACGGCCGUAUUCCCGUUACACUGAAACAUCACUCCUUCUACACCUCACUUCUAAACCAAUUCAAUUGUCUUCCACUCUAUGCUAUUUUGGCAACGCAUAUUGGGGAACCUAGGUGGAAUGAUCGACUUGUCUGGCCAUCUACCAAGAUUGGUAUGUAUUCGGUUAGGUUCGGAUACCAUUGGGCACGGUAUUCGGUUUGGAAAUUAAAAACCCCACCAAAGCUUCGUAACUUUAUAUGGCGCACAUUACAUGGAGCUCUGGCAAUGAUGGAGAAUUUAUUCAAAAGGAAAUGUUCCCCCUCCCCGAUGUGUCCGAUAUGCAACUGUUAUGAGGAGUCUAUUGAGCACCACCUGUUAUUAUGCUAUUAUGCCCAUGGGUGGAGACUAUUUGGUUUGGUGGGGUGCUCAAUUAUAAGGUGGACAGACAUAGGAUUACUUCUUGGGCGGCUUGGCUUCAUUACAUUGCAUCGCGGCAGUUUGGGUCUAAGGAGGAUCAAGGGUUUGUGCUUUCGCAUGUGGCAUUUACUUGUUGGUAUAUUUGGAAAGCGAGGUCCAACUUUCUAUUCAACCAAUAAGCACUCGAUCCUACCCAGGUGCUCCUUGCUAUCUCAAAUUAUUCUGCUGUUUUCAAUGAAGCUAAUCGGGCUCCUCCUCCAUUAAUGAAUGUAUCACGCACGGUUGCUCCUGUGGCACAUUGGUCUCCCUCUUUUUCUCCCUAUCUGAAAGUGAAUGUAGAUGCUAGUUGGCAGAAGUCGACAAGGAAUGGUUAUGUUGGGGUUGUGAUACGUGAUGUGGAGGGUCAGUUUGUGGCUGCAGCUCGGUAUGCAAUCCAGACUCCUAAUGUUGUAUCGGCGGAGGCCAUGGCUAUUUUACGAGGAUGUGAGCUGGCUAUUGCUUUGGGCCAUCAGUGGGUGAUUGUGGAAUCCGAUUCUAAGGAGUUGAUUUCUAGCUUAUCAAGUUCGUUGGACAAUGGCAGAUGGGAAGCCUUUCCUACCUUGGCAAAUGUUCUAAGGUUACAAGAGUCUUUCCAGGGAUGUCGCUGGUCUUGGGUGCCAAGAUCGGCCAAUUUGGCUGCGGACAGGUUGGCGUCGCACAGCAAUACGGACAUGUGCAAUGUCAUAUAGGUCAAUAGACCUCCAUCUUCGUUGGUUUUUGUUUUAAAUAAUGAUAUGGAUUACCUUGUCCACCUUAGACUUUUAUUGUAAUGGAGGGGGCGAUGCUCGAACUCUGUUCUAGCAUCUUCACUCCUUACUCCCUUCGCUGCUUGGUUUUUUAUUGGUCAGUUGUUGCUUGCCUCGGUGUAGGCUUCCUGUAAUGUUGUGACAUCCUUGCCCUGAUAAUUUUAUUCCCAGUUUCCCAAAAAAAAAAAAAAACGAAAAGAAAGCCACUCCUUCAUAUACUUACUCGUGUAACUUCCAAAUAAAAUCCCAUUUAGUUUCUGAAGCAUAAUAUUCACUUUAAGAACGAAAAAAAUUCAACAUUUCAAAACUAACCCACCACAAAUCUGCUCCUACUUCAAAAAUUAACCAAACACCUUCAAUUCCAAUUACUUUUCACUUACUCUUCAACGAAAAACACUUCACACAAAUAACAUAGCCUCAUAAAAUCAAGGGGGAUUUAAAUCAAGGCCAAGGUUUUCAGAUUUUUACCCCAAUAUCUCCAAAACUGGUCUUCGAAGCCUAAAACUUUACCCGUGCACCAAAUUUUAAUUUUAAUCCGUUUGCACUCACGCAUUCGUGACGACAAGUACUACAGGAAUUUGCUUACAUAAGUUAUAAGUGUCACGCCAUCAUGGUCAAUGAAAGUCAACAUUCAUCCAAUUAGAGGCAUUUUGUCAUUUACCACAUUUGGGAAUUAAAAUACCAUAAAAUUGAGGAAGGGUUGUAACACUAAAUGUUUAUUUGUCAUUUUCAGGACUGACACAAAAGAUAGAUACCUUAUCAUUGAAUGGAUGUUGUGACUAAAAGUUAGGAUUUGGUUUAAUAUUCUAAUAACAAGGUAUAUUAGAACCAAACCAGCCAUAUAAUACACAUAUAUGAUUACCUUUCGGUCAUUGCGGUAAUCAUUUGUAGUAUACGUCGAUAGUAAAAUCCUUUCAAAGACCUUAAAAUCCUUUCAAAGACCUACUUGUAAUAACGAACUUGCAAAAUAGUGACCAAUGAAUUAGAGGUACACCAUUGUGGUAGGUCACAAAAAGCCAAACAUAGGACAAGUCAUAUUAUACAUACAUCAACCCUUUGCAAGUGGUUUAAAUUAAAGAAAAUAAAAAUUAGAUUCCAAUAGCAUCCCUAAAGCACUUCUAACAUGAUCGACAUUGUCGAGGAUAACUUUCAGUACCUACAAUCUUCCACGCAAGAUGCCCCAACGAGAUCGUAGUUUUUAGCUCCCACAAAAGAAGCUCCUCGAAGAUUUGCAUGAUAAAAAGUAGAACUACGCAAAUUUGCACUGUCAAAGGUAGCACCUUCAGCAUCAGCGUAGUUGAAAUUAGAAUCAUUAAUAUUUGCACCUGAAAAACACACGUGUCUCAAGCAUGCAUAGCUGAAGUCAACAUAUGACAGGUCCAGUUUUGAAAGAUUAAGGCCAGAAAGAUUAACCCCUCGAAAACAAGGCUUAGACACACACACAUCCAUGCGUCCAGACCACUUCAUUGAAUAUAUGUAGUUGAUAACCUCGGCACGGGUAAAUCUGCAUCCAACUUCUUAUCUUCCUUACUGUUCAGGACAUCAGGUAUUCCAUCAACUAACCCUAGUAGUUGAUAGUACCUUGCCUCCUUAACAAGUUCUGCAUAUUGGGAAGCUUCUAAUUUAGGAAUCUCACCGUCUCUUAACCAGUUAAGAAUGUGCCGAAAAUAUUUGCCAUCCCUAUCGAUAAAAACAUAUCCCUCCUUAUCUUGGCGCAAAGUGUGUCGACCGCUAAACAUUGCAGCAAGCAUGGAGUCGGGUUGACGCUGAGUUAGAGUACCGACGGUGGUGGAAAACUUCUUUCCUCCCACAUUGAGGUGAACCAAAGAUGAAGAAUCACAGUCCUCUGCCAUUGCUUGGAAACUUUGAGAGAUGAACUGAUACAGGAAAUCAAGAGUAUAACUGGAAAACUUCUCCACUGCAAAGAAUAAC